ACCGUUUCCCUCGUUGAAGGAUAUAAGAAUUUAGGGCGGUAGCUUCAUAGGGAAUAUCUGGCACAAGGCCGCUGUGCUAAAGCAGAGAUCAGCGGCAGUCAUGCUGCGGCUGUUACAUUAUCUUUGCUUUAUCUCAUGGUGCAGCCUGUCAGGCUGGGUGGCCGCGAUCACUUUAACCCAGCCGAGUUCUGCCGAGGCAGAGCCAGGGAACUCCAUUACGCUGGACUGCACUGUUUCUGGGUAUAAUGUUAAUGACCGUCAUAUGCAAUGGUUGCGCCUUCCCCGGGGGAAAAAUCUGGUCCGGAUAGCAUCCUUCAGACCGGGUUACACCAUCUACAUCGCGGAUGAGUUCAAAGGACGCGUUACCCCCUCCACCAGCGGCUCCACUGGCAAGCUAAAGAUAGACAGUCUCACAGCUGCAGACACCGCUACCUACUACUGUGCGACAGAUGCACAGUGA